rnacentral:rRNA from 1 species
AACGAACGCUGGCGGCAUGCCUAACACAUGCAAGUCGAACGAGACCUUCGGGUCUAGUGGCGCACGGGUGCGUAACGCGUGGGAACCUGCCCUUAGGUUCGGAAUAACUCCCUGAAAGGGGUGCUAAUACCGGAUAAUGUCUUCGGACCAAAGAUUUAUCGCCUUUGGAUGGGCCCGCGUUGGAUUAGCUAGUUGGUAGGGUAAAAGCCUACCAAGGCGACGAUCCAUAGCUGGUCUGAGAGGAUGAUCAGCCACACUGGGACUGAGACACGGCCCAGACUCCUACGGGAGACAGCAGUGGGGAAUAUUGGACAAUGGGCGAAAGCCUGAUCCAGCAAUGCCGCGUGAGUGAUGAAGGCCUUAGGGUUGUAAAGCUCUUUUACCCGGGAUGAUAAUGACAGUACCGGGAGAAUAAGCUCCGGCUAACGCCGUGC